GGGGUGGGCCGACGGUCGGUAGGAUUGGCUUACCACCCAUCCGUAGCGGGUUCGAUUCCCGUCCACUCCACCA
rnacentral:tRNA from 1 species